rnacentral:rRNA from 1 species
CCUACGGGAGGCAGCAGUGAGGAAUAUUGGUCAAUGGACGCAAGUCUGAACCAGCCAUGCCGCGUGCAGGAAGACGGCUCUAUGAGUUGUAAACUUCUUUUGUACGGUGAUAAAAUCCGAUACGCGUAUCUUUCUGAAAGUAUCUUACGAAUCAUGAUCGGCUAACUCCGUGCCAGCAACCGCGGUAAUACGGAGGAUUCAAGCGUUAUCCGGAUUUAUUGGGUUUAAACGGUGCGUAGGCGGUUGGAUAAGUUAGAUGUGAAAUGCCGAGGCUCAACUUCAGAAUUGCAGUUGAUACUGUCAGGCUAGAGAGCAGUAGAGGUAGGCGGAAUGUAUGGUGUAGCGGUGAAAGGCUUAGAGAUCAUAAAGAACACCGAUUGCGAAGGCAGCUUAC